AGAGUUUGAUCCUGGCUCAGGAUGAACGCUGGCGGCGUGCCUAAUACAUGCAAGUCGAGCGAACGGACGAGAAGCUUGCUUCUCUGAUGUUAGCGGCGGACGGGUGAGUAACACGUGGAUAACCUACCUAUAAGACUGGGAUAACUUCGGGAAACCGGAGCUAAUACCGGAUAAUAUUUUGAACCGCAUGGUUCAAAAGUGAAAGACGGUCUUGCUGUCACUUAUAGAUGGAUCCGCGCUGCAUUAGCUAGUUGGUAAGGUAACGGCUUACCAAGGCAACGAUGCAUAGCCGACCUGAGAGGGUGAUCGGCCACACUGGAACUGAGACACGGUCCAGACUCCUACGGGAGGCAGCAGUAGGGAAUCUUCCGCAAUGGGCGAAAGCCUGACGGAGCAACGCCGCGUGAGUGAUGAAGGUCUUCGGAUCGUAAAACUCUGUUAUUAGGGAAGAACAUAUGUGUAAGUAACUGUGCACAUCUUGACGGUACCUAAUCAGAAAGCCACGGCUAACUACGUGCCAGCAGCCGCGGUAAUACGUAGGUGGCAAGCGUUAUCCGGAAUUAUUGGGCGUAAAGCGCGCGUAGGCGGUUUUUUAAGUCUGAUGUGAAAGCCCACGGCUCAACCGUGGAGGGUCAUUGGAAACUGGAAAACUUGAGUGCAGAAGAGGAAAGUGGAAUUCCAUGUGUAGCGGUGAAAUGCGCAGAGAUAUGGAGGAACACCAGUGGCGAAGGCGACUUUCUGGUCUGUAACUGACGCUGAUGUGCGAAAGCGUGGGGAUCAAACAGGAUUAGAUACCCUGGUAGUCCACGCCGUAAACGAUGAGUGCUAAGUGUUAGGGGGUUUCCGCCCCUUAGUGCUGCAGCUAACGCAUUAAGCACUCCGCCUGGGGAGUACGACCGCAAGGUUGAAACUCAAAGGAAUUGACGGGGACCCGCACAAGCGGUGGAGCAUGUGGUUUAAUUCGAAGCAACGCGAAGAACCUUACCAAAUCUUGACAUCCUUU
rnacentral:rRNA from 1 species